CGGGGGGGGCAAGCGUUGUUCGGAAUUACUGGGCGUAAAGGGUGCGUAGGCGGCUUUCUAAGUUGGAUGUGAAAACUAUGGGCUCAACCCAUAGCCUGCAUCCAAAACUGGAGAGCUUGGGUUCUGGAGGGGAAAGCGGAAUUCCUGGUGUAGCGGUGAAAUGCGUAGAUAUCAGGAGGAACACCGGUGGCGAAGGCGGCUUUCUGGACAGAUACCGACGCUGAGGCACGAAAGCUAGGGGAGCAAACAGGAUUAGAUACCCUGGUAGUCCUAGCCCUAAACGAUGGAUACUUGCUGUGAGGGGGAUUGAAACCCUUUGUGGCGAAGCUAACGCAUUAAGUAUCCCGCCUGGGGAGUACGGUCGCAAGGCUG
rnacentral:rRNA from 1 species